UACUCCUACGGGAGGCAGCAGUAGGGAAUCUUCCACAAUGGACGCAAGUCUGAUGGAGCAACGCCGCGUGAGUGAAGAAGGCUUUCGGGUCGUAAAACUCUGUUGUUGGAGAAGAAUGGUCGGCAGAGUAACUGUUGUCGGCGUGACGGUAUCCAGCCAGAAAGCCACGGCUAACUACGUGCCAGCAGCCGCGGUAAUACGUAGGUGGCAAGCGUUAUCCGGAUUUAUUGGGCGUAAAGCGAGCGCAGGCGGUUUUUUAAGUCUGAUGUGAAAGCCCUCGGCUUAACCGAGGAAGUGCAUCGGAAACUGGGAAACUUGAGUGCAGAAGAGGACAGUGGAACUCCAUGUGUAGCGGUGAAAUGCGUAGAUAUAUGGAAGAACACCAGUGGCGAAGGCGGCUGUCUGGUCUGUAACUGACGCUGAGGCUCGAAAGCAUGGGUAGCGAACAGGAUUAGAUACCCUGGUAGUCCAUGCCGUAAACGAUGAAUGCUAGGUGUUGGAGGGUUUCCGCCCUUCAGUGCCGCAGCUAACGCAUCAAGCAUUCCGCCUGGGGAGUACGACCGCAAGGUUGAAACUCAAAGGAAUUGACGGA
rnacentral:rRNA from 1 species